rnacentral:tRNA from 2 species
GCCGGCGUGGCGCAGCGGUAGCGCAGCGCACUCGUAACGCGAAGGUCGCCAGUUCAAAUCUGGCCGCCGGCACCA